rnacentral:rRNA from 1 species
CAAACGACUCUCGGCAACGGAUAUCUCGGCUCAUGCAUCGAUGAAGAACGUAGCGAAAUGCGAUACUUGGUGUGAAUUGCAGAAUCCCGUGAACCAUCGAGUCUUUGAACGCAAGUUGCGCCCAAAGCCAUUCGGCCGAGGGCACGUCUGCCUGGGCGUCACGC